GGGGGCGACCUGGCUUCGACGCGGGUUGCAAAGCCCAAGGUGCAUGCCGAGGAUACAGCUAGCCUCGUUAAACCUGCUGUAACACUAUAGUUGCCAACGACGACAACUACGCAUUAGCUGCCUAAAAACCAGCUGUGCCGUCCGAUUGCUACGUGCUUGUGCGUCGCAUCCCGGGCGUCAUCGAACACAAGCUCGCGGUGAGGCUCGCCUGAGGCCGAACCGCUAAAACUUCAAAUGCAGGCUCGCCGAUCAUCGCCCUGCCCGUCGGGCGGUGACCGGUUAAGCCAAAGACGCGGCUAAGCAUGUAGUACCGAAGGUAGAGGACUUGCGGACGCGGGUUCGAUUCCCGCCGCCUCCACCA
rnacentral:tmRNA from 1 species